AUGACUUCUUCUUCUUCUCCUCUCUCCCUCAUCUCUUUCUCUCUAACCUUCCUCUUCUUCCUCUCCCCUGCCUUGUCUACAAACUCUGAAGGAAAUGCUUUGCAUGCUUUGAGAAGUAGGCUCAUUGAUGCCACCAAUGUUCUUCAGAGUUGGGAGUUGGGACCCAACUCUGGUCAAUCCCUGCACCUAGUUCCAUGUUACCUGUGAUGCCAAUAACCAUGUGAUCCGUUUGGAUUUGGGCAACUCUAACAUUUCUGGGUCUUUGGGGCCAGAGCUUGGGCAGCUGAAGCACCUGCAAUACUUGGAGCUUUAUAGAAAUGAUAUAGGAGGUAAAAUCCCAAAGGAGUUGGGGAAUUUGAAAAACCUUGUUAGCAUGGAUUUGUAUGGCAACAGAUUUGAAGGGAAAAUCCCAAAAUCUUUCUCCAAGUUGAAGUCACUGAGAUUUCUGAGGCUAAACAACAACAAGCUUUCAGGAUCUAUCCCAAGAGAACUCACCGCCCUCUCUAACCUCAAAGUUUUUGAUGUUUCAAACAAUGAUCUAUGCUGAACUAUUCCAGUUGAUGGCCCAUUUAGCACCUUCUCAAUGGAAAGUUUUGAGAACAAUAGGCUAAGUGGCCCAGAGCUGCAAGGACUGGUACCAUAUGACUUCGGAUGCUGA